GAUGAACGCUAGCGGCAGGCUUAAUACAUGCAAGUCGAGGGACAGCACAGGUAGCAAUACUGGGUGGUAACCGGCAAACGGGUGCGGAACACGUACACAACCUUCCUUUAAGUGGGGGAUAGCCCAGAGCAAUUUGGAUUAAUACCCCGUAAUAUAGUUGAAUGGCAUCAUUUGAUUAUUAUAGCUACGGCGCUUAAUGAUGGGUGUGCGGCUGAUUAGAUAGUUGGCGGGGUAACGGCCCACCAAGUCUACGAUCGGUAGCUGAUGUGUGAGGAUGAUCAGCCACGCGGGCGCUGAGACACGAGCCGGAAUCCUACGGGAAGCAGGAGGAAGGAAUGUUGGUCAAUGGACGCAAGUCUGAACCAGCCAUGCCGCGUGAAGGAUUAAGGUCCUCUGGAUUGUAAACUUCUUUUAUUUGGGACGAAAAAGGGCCUUUCUAGGUCAACUGACGGUACCAGAUGAAUAAGCACCGGCUAACUCCGUGCCAGCAGCCGCCGUAACAC
rnacentral:rRNA from 1 species